AGAGUUUGAUCCUGGCUCAGGACGAACGCUGGCGGCGUGCCUAACACAUGCAAGUCGAGCGGGGAUUUGGGAGCUUGCUUCUGAAUCCCAGCGGCGGACGGGUGAGUAACGCGUGAGCAAUCUGCCUCAAACAGGGGGAUAACGCAUCGAAAGAUGUGCUAAUACCGCGUAAGACCACAGCACCGCAUGGUGCAGGGGUCAAAGGAGCAAUCCGGUUUGAGAUGAGCUCGCGUCCGAUUAGCUAGUUGGUGAGAUAACAGCCCACCAAGGCGACGAUCGGUAGCCGACCUGAGAGGGUGAUCGGCCACAUUGGAACUGAGACACGGUCCAGACUCCUACGGGAGGCAGCAGUGGGGAAUAUUGGGCAAUGGGCGAAAGCCUGACCCAGCAACGCCGCGUGAGGGAAGAAGGGUUUCGGCUCGUAAACCUCUGUCCUAUGGGACGAAUAGAUGACGGUACCAUAGGAGGAAGCCCCGGCUAACUACGUGCCAGCAGCCGCGGUAAUACGUAGGGGGCGAGCGUUGUCCGGAAUGAUUGGGCGUAAAGGGCGCGUAGGCGGCCCGUUAAGUCUGGAGUGAAAGUCCCGCUUUCAAGGUGGGAAUUGCUUUGGAUACUGAUGGGCUCGAGUGCAGGAGAGGAAAGCGGAAUUACCGGUGUAGCGGUGAAAUGCGUAGAGAUCGGUAGGAACACCAGUGGCGAAGGCGGCUUUCUGGACUGAAACUGACGCUGAGGCGCGAAAGCGUGGGGAGCAAACAGGAUUAGAUACCCUGGUAGUCCACGCGGUAAACGAUGAGUGCUAGGUGGUAGGGGGGUAUCGACUCCUUCUGUGCCGCAGUAAACACAAUAAGCACUCCGGCUGGGGAGUACGGCCGGCAAGGUGAAACUCAAAGGAAUUGACGGGGGCCCGCAACAGCAGCGGGAGCAUGUGGAUUAAUUCGAAGGCACGGCGAACAACCUUACCAGGUCUUGACAUCCAAUAAAACUUG
rnacentral:rRNA from 1 species